rnacentral:rRNA from 1 species
GGGUUGUGAGGUUAAGCGACUAAGCGUACACGGUGGAUGCCCUGGCAGUCAGAGGCGAUGAAGGGCGUGCUAAUCUGCGAUAAGCGCCGGUAAGGUGAUAUGAACCGUUAUAACCGGCGAUACCCGAAUGGGGAAACCCAGUGUGAUUCGUCACACUAUCAUUAACUGAAUCCAUAGGUUAAUGAGGCGAACCGGGGGAACUGAAACAUCUAAGUACCCCGAGGAAAAGAAAUCAACCGAGAUUCCCCCAGUAGCGGCGAGCGAACGGGGAGGAGCCCAGAGCCUGAAUCAGCAUGUGUGUUAGUGGAAGCGUCUGGAAAGGCGCGCGAUACAGGGUGACAGCCCCGUACACAAAAGCGCAUGUGCUGUGAGCUCGAUGAGUAGGGCGGGACACGUGGUAUCCUGUCUGAAUAUGGGGGGACCAUCCUCCAAGGCUAAAUACUCCUGACUGACCGAUAGUGAACCAGUACCGUGAGGGAAAGGCGAAAAGAACCCCGGCGAGGGGAGUGAAAAAGAACCUGAAACCGUGUACGUACAAGCAGUGGGAGCCCCACCACCAAAGCAUUCUCUGGUGUUGAAGGCCCUGCAAAGCAGCAUCGCGGUGGCGGAGCGUCGUUUGCGACGCCCAACACACAAAACAAGCGGUGAAUGCUUUGGGGUGGGGUGACUGCGUACCUUUUGUAUAAUGGGUCAGCGACUUAUAUUCUGUAGCAAGGUUAACCGAAUAGGGGAGCCGGAGGGAAACCGAGUCUUAAUUGGGCGUUAAGUUGCAGGGUAUAGACCCGAAACCCGGUGAUCUAGCCAUGGGCAGGUUGAAGGUUGGGUAACACUAACUGGAGGACCGAACCGACUAAUGUUGAAAAAUUAGCGGAUGACCUGUGGCUGGGGGUGAAAGGCCAAUCAAACCGGGAGAUAGCUGGUUCUCCCCGAAAGCUAUUUAGGUAGCGCCUCGUGAAUUCAUCUCCGGGGGUAGAGCACUGUUUCGGCUAGGGGGCCAUCCCGGCUUACCAACCCGAUGCAAACUGCGAAUACCGGAGAAUGUUAUCACGGGAGACACACGGCGGGUGCUAACGUCCGUCGUGAAGAGGGAAACAACCCAGACCGCCAGCUAAGGUCCCAAAGUCAUGGUUAAGUGGGAAACGAUGUGGGAAGGCCCAGACAGCCAGGAUGUUGGCUUAGAAGCAGCCAUCAUUUAAAGAAAGCGUAAUAGCUCACUGGUCGAGUCGGCCUGCGCGGAAGAUGUAACGGGGCUAAACCAUGCACCGAAGCUGCGGCAGCGAACGUAUCACCCAAGACAACUUUACGGAGUUGACGAUUGACGGAGCGAAGCGACGUCAAAGCGUUCAUUAAAGUCGAGUUGGCUUAGGGAUACGUUCGUUGGGUAGGGGAGCGUUCUGUAAGCCUGUGAAGGUGUGUCGUGAGGCAUGCUGGAGGUAUCAGAAGUGCGAAUGCUGACAUAAGUAACGAUAAAGCGGGUGAAAAGCCCGCUCGCCGGAAGACCAAGGGUUCCUGUCCAACGUUAAUCGGGGCAGGGUGAGUCGACCCCUAAGGCGAGGCCGAAAGGCGUAGUCGAUGGGAAACGGGUUAAUAUUCCCGUACUUGGUGUUACUGCGAAGGGGGGACGGAGAAGGCUAUGUUGGCCGGGCGACGGUUGUCCCGGUUUAAGCGUGUAGGUGUGUGUUCCAGGUAAAUCCGGUUCACUUUAACACUGAGGCGUGACGACGAGGCACUACGGUGCUGAAGCAACAAAUGCCCUGCUUCCAGGAAAAGCCUCUAAGCAUCAGGUAACAUCAAAUCGUACCCCAAACCGACACAGGUGGUCAGGUAGAGAAUACCAAGGCGCUUGAGAGAACUCGGGUGAAGGAACUAGGCAAAAUGGUGCCGUAACUUCGGGAGAAGGCACGCUGACACGUAGGUGAAGUGAUUUACUCAUGGAGCUGAAGUCAGUCGAAGAUACCAGCUGGCUGCAACUGUUUAUUAAAAACACAGCACUGUGCAAACACGAAAGUGGACGUAUACGGUGUGACGCCUGCCCGGUGCCGGAAGGUUAAUUGAUGGGGUCAGCGCAAGCGAAGCUCCUGAUCGAAGCCCCGGUAAACGGCGGCCGUAACUAUAACGGUCCUAAGGUAGCGAAAUUCCUUGUCGGGUAAGUUCCGACCUGCACGAAUGGCGUAAUGAUGGCCAGGCUGUCUCCACCCGAGACUCAGUGAAAUUGAACUCGCUGUGAAGAUGCAGUGUACCCGCGGCAAGACGGAAAGACCCCGUGAACCUUUACUAUAGCUUGACACUGAACAUUGAGCCUUGAUGUGUAGGAUAGGUGGGAGGCUUUGAAGUGUGGACGCCAGUCUGCAUGGAGCCGACCUUGAAAUACCACCCUUUAAUGUUUGAUGUUCUAACGUGGACCCGUAAUCCGGGUUGCGGACAGUGUCUGGUGGGUAGUUUGACUGGGGCGGUCUCCUCCUAAAGAGUAACGGAGGAGCACGAAGGUUGGCUAAUCCUGGUCGGACAUCAGGAGGUUAGUGCAAUGGCAUAAGCCAGCUUGACUGCGAGCGUGACGGCGCGAGCAGGUGCGAAAGCAGGUCAUAGUGAUCCGGUGGUUCUGAAUGGAAGGGCCAUCGCUCAACGGAUAAAAGGUACUCCGGGGAUAACAGGCUGAUACCGCCCAAGAGUUCAUAUCGACGGCGGUGUUUGGCACCUCGAUGUCGGCUCAUCACAUCCUGGGGCUGAAGUAGGUCCCAAGGGUAUGGCUGUUCGCCAUUUAAAGUGGUACGCGAGCUGGGUUUAGAACGUCGUGAGACAGUUCGGUCCCUAUCUGCCGUGGGCGCUGGAGAACUGAGGGGGGCUGCUCCUAGUACGAGAGGACCGGAGUGGACGCAUCACUGGUGUUCGGGUUGUCAUGCCAAUGGCACUGCCCGGUAGCUAAAUGCGGAAGAGAUAAGUGCUGAAAGCAUCUAAGCACGAAACUUGCCCCGAGAUGAGUUCUCCCUGAGACUUUAGGUCUCCUGAAGGAACGUUGAAGACGACGACGUUGAUAGGCCGGGUGUGUAAGCGCAGCGAUGCGUUGAGCUAACCGGUACUAAUGAACCGUGAGGCUUAACCUUACAACGCCGAAG